CACGUAGUUAGCCGGUGCUUCUUUACCCAUUACCGUCACUCACGCUUCGUCACAGGCGAAAGCGGUUUACAACCCGAAGGCCGUCAUCCCGCACGCGGCGUUGCUGCAUCAGGCUUCCGCCCAUUGUGCAAUAUUCCCCACUGCUGCCUCCCGUAGGACGUCUGGGCCGUAUCUCAGUCCCAAUGUGGCCGGUCACCCUCUCAGGCCGGCUACCCGUCAAAGCCUUGGUAAGCCACUACCCCACCAACAAGCUGAUAAGCCGCGAGUCCAUCCCCAACCGCCGAAACUUUCCAACCCCCACCAUGCAGCAGGAGCUCCUAUCCGGUAUUAGCCCCAGUUUCCCUGAAGUUAUCCCCAAAGUCAAGGGCAGGUUACUCACGUGUUACUCACCCGUUCGCCACUCGAGCACCCCACAAAAGCAGGGCCUUUCCGUUCGACUUGCAUGUGUUAAGCACGCCGCCAGCGUUCGUCCUGAGCCAGGAUCAAACUACU
rnacentral:rRNA from 1 species